UGUUAAAAAUUUCAUCAAUUUUAAUUGUUAAAAAUUGGUGUGACUGACGAAAUAACCAAACAAUUAUAUGUGGUGUGCCACGUGUACCUUAUACUGACGUACAAAAAUAAAUUUUUAACAGUAGAAAUUGAUGGAAUUUUUAACA
rfam:Gossypium hirsutum cultivar TM-1 chromosome 20, whole genome shotgun sequence